rnacentral:rRNA from 1 species
CUGACCUCGGAUCAGGUAGGGAUACCCGCUGAACUUAAGCAUAUC